rnacentral:rRNA from 1 species
CGGGACGGGUGAGUAAUGUCUGGAAACGUAGCCUGAUGGAGGGGGAUAACUACUGGAAACGGUAGCUAAUACCGCAUAACGUCGCAAGACCAAAGAGGGGGACCUUCGGGCCUCUUGCCAUCGGAUGUGCCCAGAUGGGAUUAGCUAGUAGGUGGGGUAACGGCUCACCUAGGCGACGAUCCCUAGCUGGUCUGAGAGGAUGACCAGCCACACUGGAACUGAGACACGGUCCAG